rnacentral:rRNA from 1 species
AGCGAACGCUGGCGGCAGGCCUAACACAUGCAAGUCGAACGGAUCCUUCGGGAUUAGUGGCGGACGGGUGAGUAACACGUGGGAACGUGCCCUUUGGUUCGGAACAACUCAGGGAAACUUGAGCUAAUACCGGAUGUGCCCUUCGGGGGAAAGAUUUAUCGCCAUUGGAGCGGCCCGCGUAGGAUUAGCUAGUUGGUGGGGUAAAGGCACACCAAGGCUACGAUCCUUAGCUGGUCUGAGAGGAUGAUCAGCCACACUGGGACUGAGACACGGCCCAGACUCCUACGGGAGGCAGCAAUGGGGAAUCUUGCGCAAUGGGCGAAAGCCUGACGCAGCCAUGCCGCGUGAAUGAUGAAGGUCUUAGGAUUGUAAAAUUCUUUCACCGGGGACGAUAAUGACGGUACCCGGAGAAGAAGCCCCGGCUAACUUCGUGCCAGCCGCCGCGGUAACAC